ensembl:lincRNA spindle pole body component 110-like
GCCAAAUCCAGUUGCUGGUGUCUCUUCCCAGCACACAAUCCCUUUCACAGAAUUCAUAGAACAUGGAACUCAGCAAAACAGAUUUUGCUGUGUACCAAGGCUCUAAACUGCAAGUGGUCUCAGUUGGCUCUUUUAAAUAAUUAUUUUUAUUUUUGGUAGACAGAUUAAGAUGCAGGGUAAAACCUUUUCAAUUGCGUGGAUAUUUCUUGAGCACUCAAGCAGAUUUAAACACAUUCUAUCCUCUGUCACCGCUGAACUGGAAACACUGGUUCUUUAUUUGCCUUUAUGCAUUUCUACUUUAACUCCUGGGUUCCUGGGUACAUUGCUCUUAAGUUUUCAGCCUCUGAAAGAACAAACUCAAAACUGCUUGAGCAAGUUUACUGGCUGGAAGAAAACCUAGAAGCUGGGAAUCUUAAGGAAGCCAGUAGGGAACCAUAUGAAAAAACGGUCCUUAUGAAAGACCAGUACAUUGAGAAGCUGCAAGCUGAAGUAGAGGCUUCCCAGAAACAACUGAAAGUUCAUAAAUUAAAGCACCAAAAAAAAGUGAAAAAGCUACAAAUUGAUUUGGCAACAACAAAGCAAGAGGCUGCCAUCGCAGUGCUGGAGCUCAAUGAGAAGAUAAAGACACUCUGUGAGAGAGAGCCAGCCCCUAGAGCUGGUUUUCUGGAAGAGUGCUGUGAAAGUCUCCUACCUGUGGACGAAGGUGAUAAGAAAAUCAGCUUGAUUAUGGAACUGUCAACACAGCUUUCCCUGCAGACUGAGAAGAUCAUUCAGCUAGAAGAAGCUUUGGAAGAAAAGGAAAGAAAGAUUCAGCAGCUGGAAGCUAAGGGAAGAGGUCAAGGAUACUCCAACCUGCUUAGAAGAAGCCCUAAUUUUCUCUAUUAGCAUUAUUUCUCUGGUGAGGAUAUUUGUGAAGAUUUUCAGUAAGAAAACAAUAAAAGUAUAUUGAGUCAUUAAAGUAGUGUCCAGAACAGAAGUAGUCUUUCAAGGAGCUCCAGAGGCGCAAUUGGGUAGUGCGUGCUACUUAUACACAAGGAGUCUUUCAAGUUCAAGUUCAUGGGUUCAAACGUUUCCUAUAAUGUUCAUACCAGAAGGGAACAAAAGAAAGGAAAGCCUUCAGUAGCCAACACUGAACGUUUCCCCCUGAGAAGUAGUCAUGCAACCACACAGCUGCAGAAUAGUGUUUCUAAACAUUCCUGCCUGAUAGCAAAGGGAGGAGGAACAUAAAGCUGAUAGUGACAGAAGUUAGCAUUAUCAUCUUAGCAAAGGUCUGUCACACCGAGGGGAAGGACGGCACCAGUCCUGUGUUGGUGUGCGAUGCAUUGUGAACAGAGAGCUAUUGUGGAGGGCCAGCUUCAGCCUCAGAAAUGUACAAACAGUACUGAAGAGCUGAAUCUUUGCCAACCGAGUAAAGGGCCAUAAGAUCUCUCCUUUGAUGUCCCCUGGAGUUUAUUUCUUUAUGGCACACAUUUUACAACAUUAGUAAGAGUAGAAAUGAAGUAAAACUAAAGCAACUUAAAAAAAAAUGUAUGAAUCAGAGCAACAGUCCUUUGGGAAAACUGUCCUGGGAUAGCAUCUCCCUGGGAAAAUACAUAGUACUGAUUUUUCCCUUAGGACUAAGAUUAAGACCAAAGCAAAAUACACUCUUCUGUUAUGAUUGUACCCUGUAGCUAUGAGCAGCAAAAUACAAUGGCAUGAAAAAUGAAGAAUAAGAAAAGGAAAUCUUGUAAUUAAUGGACUAGAAUGAAUCGUAUCACAUUUUUCUCCCACCUAUCUCUCAAAUGAACUGUUUCCUUGGCAAAGAGAACAACUAGGUACUAACUGUAAGGAAGACUUUGGUACUUGGUAAAAUGGUAUUAAUUUUACUCAGCUAGACUGCUCCAGAUCUCUCAUGAUUGUACUGCUAUCUCUGAAUUUAAUUCAACAUUAAACAAAUAUUCAUCAAAAGUAUUCUAUCAUCCAGGCACAGUAAUAAAUUAAAGAAGUUUUAGAAACUUAGCAAACAUGAGAAUGACAAUGGUGAUUACCCAGUUCAUAGACACAAGAGAGUCUCCUUAAAGGUAAGGCUGAUUAUAAUGAGAAGGGAAAUGGAAGAGGAAAAGCAAGUGAGCAUGGGCUAAACCUGAUCAGCACUGCUUUUGUGGAGAUCCUCAAAUCUACUGAGCAAGAGUGAUCAGUAUUGCUGAAUGUUUGAUGUUAUACCUUUCAAUAUCUUUCUCACUCAAAUUUUGCUAAAGGUUUUGUCUAUUUAUAGCUUUCACAGCUCUGUAUUUUUAAAACUACCAAUAAAUACUGAAUUUUUUAAAAAAGAGUGAUAGGUAAGAAUGUAUAUUCUUGGCCUCUGUUUUAGAGCCCAGAAAAUGCAGUUUAACAAAUACAUGUGAUAUAAAUGCCAGGAGCUACAUUUUAAGACAUAGUUUGAAGGACUUCAAGCAGAGGUCUCACACUGUUGCUCCCAGACUGCUGGGCAAUCCUUGAAGGAUUGCUCCUUACAAGUGGGGGUAAGUCACCUACCCUAUUUAUGCAUCCUCUGACUAUGGGUCCUGACCACCUACCAGAAAGGGUUUCCAAACAUGAAUUUAAAAAACAUAGAAAGGAGCUUUUGAUUCAUAUAUGAAGCUUUGUGACUCCUGAGGUUUACUAGGAAACAAACAAAAUAAAACCAAAUGGGAUCUUCUACUACUUUCUAUUUUUAAAAGAGUUAGAAUUUCUUAUAUUUGUACGUAACCUCAGUUUCAUAUGCAGUGGCUGCACAUAUGUACAGGUGUCCUUCAAUAUCAAAAGUGAGACUAAUUUACAACUCACUGAGUACGAACACAUACCUACUCCAGAAAAGAGCUCAAAGCACUUUUUUACCUUUUCCUUGACUCUGCUUCAGCCUACAAAGAAUCCAUUUGCAAAACCUUUCUCUCUAGUCCCUCCAUCUGCUUCCCUAAGACUCAUUAUCUCCUGGGUCAAACUUCAUGAUCUUCACUAGCCCCAACCAGAUGUCUCAGUUCCAGUCUGAGGUUCUGUGCAUUGCUCUUGACACUACAGUUGGGGGUUGACAUUUCUUCACUGUGUACUUUUGGGAGAAUAAAUUUUUCCCUUUUGUUAAGAGUGAACCUUUUCCAAGACAAACUACAACCUCCACAAUUUCAGUAUACUAUUAUGUUAACCAAACUUGCAAAUCUUUAUUUUACCAAAGAUUAUCUUAAUAUCAUGCAAUAUUGGGGGUGACAUAGAGGGGAGACAGGGAGAGUGGGAAAAAAAUUUCAUCACAUCCUGCGGACAGAUGUUACCUGCUAGAUCAAUUUCCCUGGAAUAUCCUGGUUAGCCCUUACUGUUUAAAACAGUCUUAUAAUGGAGAUAAAGUAAUAGGCAAUUAAUAAUUAAUUCAGUUUAUCACCUCUAAACAUCCAUGGACCAGCCACUGAAGAAAAAAACAUCAAGGAUCAUAUUACUCUGUAAAACCAUUGCUUCUCGGCCUUUUGGCUAAAAUCAAGUGUACUCUGUAAAACUAUAUUUGCAAGAAUUAUCUCGAUUCAGGUCCACAUUUGAAGAAGACUUGGUCCAAAGGACAACAGACUAAUCUUUAAUAGUGGUUCUUUAGUGACAAGAACUCUUGAAGCAUCCAGGGCUUAUGAGGGAGGAAGGAGGGAGAUAUGGUCUUUGAGCAACUGCUAAAUGGAAAGGUUCCCAGCUGAACAUUUAUGCUAUUUAAUGGCCCUAAAAGUUCAUUUCCAUUUUUUACCACCCCUCUAGGGAACUAAGUAGUAAGCUUUGCUUUGUGCUAGACACCUUGUUUAGACAAACUAAAAACUGGACUACAGCCUACACUGUAAGCCUAAAGUUCAUUUACUUAGGAGCAAGUUGGGUUACUGAAGCAAUCCACUAACCUUUAAAGUAUUUAGUGUAACUAUCACAGGGAAAUUAAUAAACACAUGACUCAAUUUCUCAAUGAAAAUUUAGCAGGUAUAACCAGCUAAUAUAUGUUAUUUUAAAAAUAACCAGAAAUCCAGGGAAUAAAAUACAAGUAAUUCAAACCAUUUCUUAAUAUUCUAAAGACAUUUAUAGAAAUAUACAGUUUUAAUUCUACACUUACAUCACUAAUUUUUUUCUGGAAGUUAAAUUUAACAUGUGAUAUGUCCAAUUACUUUAAGUGAACGUCAGAUUUAAUAAUUGUUUCAUUAGUGCAUGUGUGUGCUCCCACGUAUUUUCACUGGAAGCCAAAAUUAUGGCAAACUUUAAAGAUUAGCAGAAAAUCAAGUCACUGGUGGAGGUAGCUCAGAAAUGUGAAUGAGGUGUUCUAAGACAGUUCAGCAAAAGCAAAGAAACUACAGAAUAACAGUUUUGUUUAAAUGAAUUUCUGGAAAAGAAAGAAUCUAAUCAAAUUUAAUGAUCUCUUUCAGUCCUCUGUGCUUAUCCCAAGAUCCAACCGCGUUCUUCAGUUUUGCUUUAAUGAAAUAAAGAAAAGUCCAUGAAUGUUGCAAGCCUACAUAAAAAUAGUAUUUACUUGACAAUUACCAAAUAUAGAGACUAAAGACAAAACUAUUCUAAAAAAUACUAGAAGACAUUUCUUAAAAGACUUGGAGAAAAAAAUUAAGCAUUAACUGUUCCUUUCACUAAACCAAUAGAAAUUAGUAGUACAAUUAUCUUAGCUAUCUUGUAUGUGUGUGUGUGUGUAUAUAUAUAUAUAUAAAAUUUUCCCUUCCUUCUUUUCUCCCUUCCCUAGCAGUUACUUUUCCUUUCACAAUAUCUAUUAUACCUUUCAGAUUUUAUUUACUCUUUCAGUUUCUUACACUAGGGAGACAAUACAAUGUUUACACAUGUGGGUCUGAUUUAUUUCACUUAUGAGUAUGAUUUCUUGUUGUAUCCAUUUACCUAUACAAGCCUUGAGUUUACCUUUCUUUAUAGCUGAGUAAUACUUCAUUGCAUUCUUACAUCUGGUAAUCUGAACAACUACUUUGAAGAUACCAAUAUAAAAUAUAACAAUUAUUGUUAAUUUUCUAUCAUCUUGUUUGAAGUUGUGUAUCAUUUUUAAUGUUUUUUUCUUAUUUUUUAUUCUUUUUAAAAUUAAAAAAGGGCUGGGGAUAUAGUCAGUGGCACAAUGCUUGCCUUGCAAGUAUGAGGUCAUGAGUUCGAUUCUCAGUACCAUCAAAAAAAGGAAAAUUAAAAAAAGACUUGUAAAACCAAAUGUUUGUGAUUUUAAAAGUAUGACUGUAGUAAUUUUAAAAAUUAGGGCUAAUGAUGUAUGUUAUGGUUUGCGUCUGGAUGUUCCCCCAAAGCCUCAUGCAGUCAUGUGGCAGGCUUUUAGAGUUAAUGAUUCAUCCACGAUCCAAUGGUGGGAUUAUGGGUGUGAGUGGUAUAUCUGCCCUAGGGCAGAUAGCUUGCUAUGUAAGGGAAAGAAAGAGGCUAUUUGCUGCCACUCUUCCCUUUUGCUCUUGCUGCUUUUGCUGUCUUCAGCUGCCAUUCCCCCUUUUGCUUUUGUUGUUUUUGUUGUGUUCCACUGCCAUGAAUGCUUGCCCUCUGCCAUGUGCAACUCUGCCUUGGAACCAGCCCAGUAUGGACUGAAACCUGCACAAACUGUGAGCUAAAUAAACCUUUCCUUCCUUCAUUUUGAACAUCAGUUAUUUUGUCCCAGCAACGAGAGAAAAGUAACGGAGACGUCGCUUCACUAAGCUACUGUAUGUACCUAGCAUGUGUGAGACAUUAGGAUCAAUCCCCAGAGUGACCUUGAACACACACACACACACAAAGAUGGAAAAAAAAAACUACACAAAACUAAGAUGAAUUAUAAAGAAUAAAUAAUAAUUAUUAUAAUUUCCCUUAAAAGUUAAAAUAAAAAUUUUAUUGAGAUUUCC